AAGAGCUCAAAUUUGUAAUCUGGUGGCCUUUGGUCGCCCGAGUUGUAGUCUGGAGAAGCGUUUUCUGUGCCGGACCGUGUACAAGUCCCUUGGAACAGGGCGUCGUAGAGGGUGAGAAUCCCGUCUUUGACACGGACUGCCGGUGCUUUGUGAUGCGCUCUCAAAGAGUCGAGUUGUUUGGGAAUGCAGCUCAAAAUGGGUGGUAAAUUCCAUCUAAAGCUAAAUAUUGGCGAAAGACCGAUAGCGAACAAGUACCGUGAGGGAAAGAUGAAAAGCACUUUGGAAAGAGAGUUAAACAGUACGUGAAAUUGUUGAAAGGGAAACGCUUGAAGUCAGUCGCGUCUUCCGGGAUUCAGCUGUGUGAAAAAAAAANNNNNNAAAGCACAGUGUACUUCCCGGAGCGACGGGCCAGCAUCGAUUUUGACCGUCGGAGAAAGGCCUCGGGAACGUGGCACCCUUUGGGUGUGUUAUAGCCCUGGGUCGUAUGCGACGGUUGGGAUCGAGGACCGCAGCACGCCUCUUUGG
rnacentral:rRNA from 1 species